AACUAUUUAUUUUUUUAACUGUAUUUUAUUAAAAUAUUAUUUGAAAUUUCCAAAUACAAAUAUUUUACAUGUGCCUACAUUAAUGUUGUCAAAUACCUACAAAAAACAUAGGCCAAGACAGUUGAGGUACCGUUCAAAUGAUAUCUACUMAACUCAAACCAGAUGAAUACAUAUAAAAGUUUACUAACACAGAAGUAUGCUUAGUCUAACUAGGAUAAAUUGUAUACAUUAAAAUGGAUCAAUAUUGCUUGAGUCCCUAAUGGUUGGCACAACUAAUCCGUGUAACAUCAAUUUCGUGCUUUUUAUGAAUUAUUCAGUGGCAAUUAUGUAAGUUGCAUCAAUGUUGAGGAGGUAUGCAUUGGCUUCAAAUCUUCUUUGUUUUCCAUCAAUUUACAAUAAAACAUACAACUGUUCGACACUGAAUGCUGUGGGAGCUGCAGUUUACGGCUUACAUUACAAGUGUUAUUUAUGAAAUAUCUUGAAUGCGUGACGUAGUCGGAUUGCGCAGAUCAAAUUGACAACAUACCAUGCUAUUUAGCCAUGAUUGAAAUUAGUGAAUGAAGAUUUUGUAUGUACCUAGUACGUGUCUAAGACUGAGACAACACAUACGGAAGUUACAUCCUCUUAAGUGCCCAAAUAUYCUGAAUGAUACUGCUUUCAAAACACCCGAGUUAAUCAAAACCUGAAAAACAUUUUGGUUAACUUUUUACCUGAAUUAUAGAUAUUGGUGUAAUUCUAAAACAAAUGACCGUAGAAGACGCUUGAAAUUUUCACUGAAUGUUUAUACUAGCAUUUUCUA